rnacentral:tRNA from 1 species
GCAGGGAUAGCCAAGAGGUAAGGCAUGACACAGCAAAUGUCACAUUCAGGUGGUUCGAGUCCCCUUCCCUGCUCGA